GACGAACGCUGGCGGCGUGCUUAACACAUGCAAGUCGAACGGAAAGGCCCUGCUUUUGUGGGGUGCUCGAGUGGCGAACGGGUGAGUAACACGUGAGUAACCUGCCCUUGACUUUGGGAUAACUUCAGGAAACUGGGGCUAAUACCGGAUAGGAGCUCCUGCUGCAUGGUGGGGGUUGGAAAGUUUCGGCGGUUGGGGAUGGACUCGCGGCUUAUCAGCUUGUUGGUGGGGUAGUGGCUUACCAAGGCUUUGACGGGUAGCCGGCCUGAGAGGGUGACCGGCCGCAUUGGGAAUGGAGACAGGCCCAGACUCCUACGGGAGGCAGCAGUGGGGAAUAUUGCAGAAUGGGGGGAAGGCUGAUGCGGCAACGGCGCGGGGGGGAUGGAGGCCUUCGGGUUGUAAACCGCUUUCGCCUGUGACGAAGCGUGAGUGACGGUAAUGGGUAAAGAAGCACGGGCUAACUAUG
rnacentral:rRNA from 1 species